UUGAAAGGGAAACGAUUGAAGUCAGUCGUACCGACGAGAAAUCAGCUCUUUGAGUGCGUUCUUGUGGGCGUGUGAGAGUCUUUAACGGCCCUCGCUGUUUGCAUGUUUGUGCUUUUUGGGUGUACUUUUUCGUAUGGUAGGCCAACGUCAGUUUCGAUUACCAUAAAAUGAUCAGAGGAAUGUAGCUUCGAUUUCGAUUGAAGUGUUAUAGCCCUUGGUAGAUGUGGUAAUCGAAACUGAGGAUUGCAACGAAUACCCUUUUGGGGCUAUCCGUCUGACCUCUGAAAGUUACUUAGGUGCCGAAAGCUUGCUUACGGUUAUCUAAGUUGGCGGUCAAUAGGUUAGAACGUGAUUACAUUCGUUAAGGAUGUUGACGUAAGUC
rnacentral:rRNA from 1 species